rnacentral:rRNA from 1 species
CACCAGCGCCACAAGUGGCAACCACGAUUAUUGGGCCUAAAGCGUUCGUAGCCGGCUAGGUAAAUCUCUUGUGAAAUUGUUGCGCUCAACGUAACAACGUGCAGGAGACACUACUUGGCUAGGGACCGGGAGACGCGAGAGGUAUUUUUGGGGUAGCGGUAAAAUGCUAUAAUCCUGAAAGGACCACCGAUGGCGAAGGCAUCUCGCGAGAACGGAUCCGACGGUGAGGAACGAAAGCUGGGGGAGCAAACCGG